GAGACGGGUGCACUGUGCAGAGGGAAUUUUUUUUUCAGCGCCGGAUCCUGCAGAGGGGCGAGGCGCUCUAUUUUGUUUUGUGGAAAUCGGCAAUUAUUUCUAGUUGGAUCAAUGGGCAUAAUUUCUGAGAGGUCGGGUGGGUCUGCGUAAGCUUCUACGCGCAUUUGGAAACCCAUUGGGUUUUGAGUUACGAAACCGCACAGACUUUCUCCCACCCCAGCGGCUCCGGGCAAUAAGCUAGGCCUGCCCUACACGGAGCAAGCGAGCGUCAGGCCUUCCCGAGGGGAGUACAAGGUUCUCAGCUGGGGUCCACUGAGGAGGUAGGAAGAAAAGAGAGCUGCCACUCCUGCCUGGAGCUGAACAACAGGCCAAGAAGAGUUUGGUGUUGGAUGUGACAGAGAAAACAUUAAAGGAAUAUUCUGGUUGAGCUCUUCCUUGAAUUUUCAGGAUGGGUCUCAUGUAGACCAGGCUGGCUCAGUUCCCCGUGUUUGCCCAGGAUGACCUUGAAUGUCUGUUCCUCCAGCAUCUACCUCUCCAGGGCUGAGAUUACAAGCAUGAGGGGGCGGGUUGUUGCUGAGAACAGAACACUAAGCACUUGACAUUCCCAACUCCCAACUCCCAUUCUCGGUAUUUUUGUAUUCUUGUUUUCUCAAGACUGAUGUCUGUAUACACACACACACACACACACAUACACACACACACACACACACACACACACACACACACACACGCAGAUAUUUUAGGCUCAUGAAUCUGCCAGCACUUGAGGUUCAAGACUAAUGAACUUUUGCAGCACGCCAGGGUUGCCUUGAUGUGAGUCCCCCUGGCUCAUUCAGCUCCAUACAGUUCUGCCAGAGCAAAACAGUCACAUGUGUCCCUUGCUUUGUGGAAGCAGUUUCUCUGGGGGCGGGGGGGGGGAGCCUGGGGGGUCACUGACCUGGGUCCCGGUCAGGCUCUCUGACUACAGAGUCCCGCCACCCCCACCCCACCCCGAGCACCUUCAUCAUUGGCCUCUUCAUUGUUGGACCUGGGGAAGGCUUUCAAGCAGAUCUGUUGGGCUAGGUACUUGCCAAAGAGUCAGCCUCCAUGAGAAAAGUUCAGACUUCUUUGGGUACCCGAUUUCUCUCUUCCUCUCCCAUUGACAGCCAGCGAAGUGGGUAGAGGACCCUGGUUUUCUGGCCCUUAGCAACUGGGUUCCAGGAUGAAGGAUGAAUGAAAUCUUGCUUUCCAAACCUAAUGGUUGUGUGCCCAUAUCCCAGCCUCUAUCAAAGCCUUGAGGCCAGCACACACUGCCCUGGAGGCAGGAGGAAGGGCUAUACUCAGGUGUAGGGAACAGGAAGACAGACCCAGCAGUUAAACUUCACAUCCACAUCUUAGUCCCUGGCACCCCAGGUAGGAGUUGAAUGGGAGCCCCUUGUGUAGGGGAAGUUCCUCCCACCCACCCCUGCAUGCUGCCCAGUUGUGGGCUAGCCUGCUGAGUGAGCCUGUGGGAUAGGGCUAUGAGGAUCACAAGGCCUGACUGUCCUUACGUUCCCCUCCAAAUCUCUCUAUUUCCAGGAGAAAAGGCAGGUCGCCAUUAGCCUCUCCUCUGUGCUGAUAUCCUGGGGCCCAGGUAGGGGGUCAUAGAAGGGUCCCAGGCCAUGCUCAGAUCUGUACCCUGUGCUCAAGGCUGCCUGAGUCCAAAAGCAGAUUUACUUCCUUAGAAAGGGAAUUGAGAGUUUAGUCCAGCUCAGUGCCUAAAAUGGAGGCUCUAGGGUCCCCACUGUCAGGUCCUGUCCCUCUAUUCCCUGCACCUAGGCUGCCUUACCACCCUACAGGGAAUGUCUCCCUGGGAAGUCUUCUAAAUCUCCAGGAUUGGGGCCUCCAAGUCUCCUUCUGUAAACAUUGCCCACACAGCCCUUGUAUGCUGUACUGGGGGUGGAACCCUAGGGUUUUAUUCAUGAUAAGCAAGCUUUCUCAUUCCCAGCCUCUGCUGUUGUGCUUGGUUUUUUGGCAUUUUUUAAUUUUUUUGGUUUUGUUGUUGUUGUUUUUUUAUGACACAGGGCCUCGCUCUGUAGACCAGGCUGGCCUCACACUCAGAAAUCUGUCUGCCUCUGCCUCCCAAGUACUGGGAUUAAAUGUGUGAAUCACCACCUUGCCCAGCCUAUCGUUGAACAUUAUUUAUAAUUGCAUGUCA
rnacentral:lncRNA from 7 species